UACGAAGGGGGCUAGCGUUGCUCGGAAUGACUGGGCGUAAAGGGCGCGUAGGCGGAUUGCUUUGUCGGGCGUGAAAUUCCAGGGCUUAACCUUGGGGCUGCGUUCGAGACGGGUGAUCUUGAGUUCGGGAGAGGUGAGUGGAACUGCGAGUGUAGAGGUGAAAUUCGUAGAUAUUCGCAAGAACACCAGUGGCGAAGGCGGCUCACUGGCCCGAUACUGACGCUGAGGCACGAAAGCGUGGGGAGCAAACAGG
rnacentral:rRNA from 1 species